rnacentral:rRNA from 1 species
GACGAACGCUGGCGGCGCGCCUAACACAUGCAAGUCGAACGAGAGAUGAGGAGCUUGCUCUUCAAAUCGAGUGGCGAACGGGUGAGUAACGCGUGAGGAACCUGCCUCAAAGAGGGGGACAACAGUUGGAAACGACUGCUAAUACCGCAUAAGCCCACGGGUCGGCAUCGACCAGAGGGAAAGGAGCAAUCCGCUUUGAGAUGGCCUCGCGUCCGAUUAGCUAGUUGGUGAGGUAAUGGCCCACCAAGGCGACGAUCGGUAGCCGGACUGAGAGGUUGAACGGCCACAUUGGGACUGAGACACGGCCCAGACUCCUACGGGAGGCAGCAGUGGGGAAUAUUGCACAAUGGGGGAAACCCUGAUGCAGCGACGCCGCGUGGAGGAAGAAGGUCUUCGGAUUGUAAACUCCUGUUGUUGAGGAAGAUAAUGACGGUACUCAACAAGGAAGUGACGGCUAACUACGUG